GAAGUUUUCAGAGAUGAGAAUGUGCCUUCGGGAACCGUGAGACAGGUGCUGCAUGGCUGUCGUCAGCUCGUGUUGUGAAAUGUUGGGUUAAGUCCCGCAACGAGCGCAACCCUUAUCCUUUGUUGCCAGCGGUCCGGCCGGGAACUCAAAGGAGACUGCCAGUGAUAAACUGGAGGAAGGUGGGGAUGACGUCAAGUCAUCAUGGCCCUUACGGCCAGGGCUACACACGUGCUACAAUGGCGCAUACAAAGAGAAGCGACCUCGCGAGAGCAAGCGGACCUCAUAAAGUGCGUCGUAGUCCGGAUUGGAGUCUGCAACUCGACUCCAUGAAGUCGGAAUCGCUAGUAAUCGUGGAUCAGAAUGCCACGGUGAAUACGUUCCCGGGCCUUGUACACACCGCCCGUCACACCAUGGGAGUGGGUUGCAAAAGAAGUAGGUAGCUUAACCUUCGGGAGGGCGCUUACCACUUUGUGAUUCAUGACUGGGGUGAAGUCGUAACAAGGUAACCGUAGGGGAACCUGCGGUUGGAUCACCUCCUUACCUUAAAGAAGC
rnacentral:rRNA from 1 species